UACGUAGGCAGCAAGCGUUGUUCGGAGUUACUGGGCGUAAAGAGUGCGUAGGCGGUGUCGUAAGUUUGGCGUGAAAUCUCCCGGCUUAACUGGGAGGGUGCGUCGAAAACUGCGAUGCUCGAGUGCGGGAGAGGUAAGCGGAAUUCCUGGUGUAGCGGUGAAAUGCGUAGAUAUCGGAAGGAACAUCAGUGGCGAAAGCGGCCUCCUGGACCAAUACUGACGCUCAUGUGCGAAAGCGUGGGGAGCAAACAGG
rnacentral:rRNA from 1 species